GCUGGGGAGAAUGGUCCUACCUGGAGCCUCUGGCAGAAAGCUCCAGGGGAAACUCGAGGUUGCCCCCUCGGCUUUUGCAGUUGGGGAUAGAGAGGAUCUGAGGCCAGCUACACUCCCACUGAAAAAGAGAUACUGGCAGCCUAUGAAGGGGUUCGAGCUGCCUCAGAAGUGAUUGGAACUGAAGCGCAGCUCCUCCUGGCACCCCGGUUGCCUGUGCUGGGCUGGAUGCUCAAAGGCAGGGUCUCCUCUACACAUCAUGCAACCAGUGCUACAUGGAGUAAGUGGGCCGCACUAAUUACACAACGAGCUUGAAUAGGAAAUCCCAGUCGUCCAGGAAUUCUAGAAGUCAUCAUGGACUGGCCAGAGGGGAAAGAUUUUGGGAUGUCACCAGAAGAGGAGGUGACGCGUGCUGAAGAGGCCCCACCAUAUAAUAAACUGUCAGAAAGUGAGAAGCAAUAUGCCUUGUUUACUGAUGGGUCCUGCCCUAUUGUGGGAAAGCAUCGGAGAUGGAAGGCAGCUCUGGAUGGCUUUCGCCUCUGCAAACUGCCUCGAUUCACCCUCUCCUUCAGCAGUUUCUGCAGCUUGUCACAGGGGACUCCACACAGCUGCCUUCCACCUCCGGCACUUUCCCACAAUACGGCAAGACCCAUCAGUAAACAAGGCAUAUUGCUUUUCACUCUCUGACAGUUCAUUAUAUGGUGGGGCCUCUUCAGCACGCGUCACCUCCUCUUCUGGUGACAUCCCAAAAUCUUUCCCCUCUGGCCAGUCCAUGAUGACUUCUGGAAUUCCUGGACAACUGGGAUUUCCUAUUCAAGCUCGUUGUGUAAUUAGUGCGGCCCACUUACUCCAUGUAGCAUCAGUUGCAUGAUGUGUAGAGGAGACCCUGCCUUUGAACAUCCAGCCCAGCACAGGCAACCGGGGUGCCAGGAGGAGCUGUGCUUCAGUUCCGAUCACUUCUGAGGCAGCUCGAACCCCUUCAUAGGCUGCCAGUAUCUCUUUUUCAGUGGGAGUGUAGCUGGCCU
rnacentral:lncRNA from 1 species